rfam:Spinacia oleracea cultivar SynViroflay scaffold3043.con0007.1, whole genome shotgun sequence.
GAAAAUGAUGAUUUUUAAUUGUCGCCCCAGUCUUACAAGCAUCUCAAUGAGAUGCUUUAAUAUGGUGAUUGACUAUUCUAUCUGAUUA